UUUUAUUCAAUGAGAAAGAAUUAAAUUUGGGCCAAUUGGGAGUUCAUUUUCGGAUUUUAGUGGCCCAACAAGACAAAGACUCAUUCCUUCCCAAUCCCUUUUAGCCCAAACCCUUUUCUCACCCAUCAAACCCCUCCCUUAAUCAUAGCCUUUGAUCUACUUUCAUCCAAGGGCCCAUGCUCACUCCCCACUAUCAAAUAAAAACUAAAUUAACACCCAAAACCCUAAGCUAACUCCCCCACUUCAGCCAUAAAAGACUCCAGCAGCCACCCCUUCUUAAAAAAAUAGCCACAGACCUAAAAUCAGCGGCACCUCCCAAAUAUAGAGAGAUCUCCAUCGUCACUCUCUCUGACAAAAAGAAAAGUUGUAGUUUGGUGGUGAUAUUUUAAGCAAGUUAAAAAAAAACAUUGUGAGUCGAACUUUAGCAGAUUGGAAAAACUAUAACAUCUCUAUACAAAGGUUCAUGUUCGAACACCACCAGAUUUCGGCUUGAAAUUGUUCAGAUUUAGCCGGUCUUGCGAUUUUCCGACGAUUCCAGUUUUGAUUUUAUGUUCGAGGUUGCGUUGCCGGUCCGGGGUUCCAGUUAAUACCUUGUUUGAGCGUUGCUAUUUCUUUGGUGUUAGCUUGCUUUGUAUGCAGCAAAAAGGUUAGAAUCCAAUAACAAAAAGUCUAUUUUCAUUUACAUAUAAUUUUGGUUGGUUUCUGGUAUGAAAAUGUGACUUUCUCCAGUCACAUUAGUAAGUGACAUGAUUUAUGAAUGUGCUAUGCUUUCUCUGUUAGUCUCUUGAAUUAAUUUCAUUAUUGAGGAUCUUGAUUAGGAGGAGGUGAUAAUGAAAAUUCUUGGGUAAUUCAACUAUCUUCAUUUGAGUUUUAGUUGGGUGGUUACUGCUUUUAACAAUGUGACAGUGAUCUUUAAUAAUGUUCUUGGGCCGAACAAGUUUAAUCUCCAGGCCUCAUUUAUUUUAGUCAAUAGAUUAAGAUAAAUGUCUCAUAAUUUUAAAGGUAGAGUAGAUAACUCCUUCCAUAAUUCGCAUGUCUUACAAUAAUCUCUAAUUAUCUUUAGGAAAUAGUUAAUGAACAUCGUAGCUCGCUUUAGGUACGAUUAAUAAUAAAUCCUCACGACUAUCGGUACGGUUCCCGUAGCAUAGUAGCGAUACAUAAAGCCAAAUUCGGGUGUGCAUUUCAUGUGACCCGACCAUAACUUUGAAUAAUUAUAAAAAAAUAACAUGUUGUAAAUCGCAGGUGCGUUUCACGUGGCAUGAUUCACAAUAUAUACAAAACAGACGAGUGCGCGACAUCGCGACUUGUUCAAAUAAAACUUCAUAAAUACUAAAAGUGAUUAAAUAAAUAAUUAAAAGCGGUUGAAGAGCGAAAAUGCAAAACAUGUUUUAAAUAUGUAAUUAAUCAUCUUAUUAGGACAAUUAUUAAUAGUCGAGCGACUGUACUAAAACCAUAAAACUCGGGAUUGCCUCACACUUUUUCCCGGGUUAACAGAAUUCCUUACUCGGUCUUCUGUGUUCGUAGACCAUAAAUAAGAGUUAAUUUCCUCGAUUUGGAAUUUAAAAUAAAUCGGUGACUUGGGACACCAUAAAAUUUUUCCAAGUGGUGACUCUGAUUAAUUAAAUAAUCUCAUUUCGAUUAGUGUCACUUAAAUUGGAAAAACUCCCCUAUCUCCUCGGGAAAAGGGAGGUGCGACAGUCCUCAAGCAAAUAAAUUAAUUCCCACCUUCUCAGAGUUAAAUGUCAUUUCAUCGAGUCAAUGGUGAGCCAUUCAUACAUCACGUGAGGCCAACAAUUACCCACACUACUCAUGUAUUAUCAACAAAGUGACAAGUCAAAUAUUCAUGCAGAUAUAUUCUAAUGUGACAUUUGAGCUUCAAGAAUUGACUUUACUCAUCAAGGACUCUUGUUCUAUCAUGCAGGUCAUGGUGGACUCCAAACUCUUCCUCCUCUACUUUCCAUUUGCCAAACUCACUUAAAAAGAUAGCACUCAAUCUUAAUAUUCAUGAAAGGUUCACUCUUCUCUCACAAGAGAAUGUCACAAGAACGACUUCAAGUACCAUAGGCUUUCCCCUCAUGUAGAUUGUCACUAAUGUAAGCUCACUCGGUUCGAAAUCAAGUAGGACUUCUUUCAGGUUGUAAUGAAGGCUUUUGGAUUAGGGUAGGAUACCAUAUGGCUAAGUGGUUACACCUUUCCUUAAGCACUCCAUAUUUGCAUUUCUCGCCUCACAAUUACCAGUUCUUAGAGGCAUUUUUUUAUUGACGGCUAGAGAGACUUGACAUCACUCUUUCUUGUUCAUUUCAUUCUUUUUCUUCCUUUUUGAUGCUCAUUUUAGGGAUCAUUACUUCUUUUUGAAUCCAUCAACCCUUCCACUUAUUCUCGUUUUUACAUUUUUUUUCUUGUUCUUUUCUUUUCUGGCUUUCACUUUUCAUAGAGAUCAUUUCUCUUUUCUUUUUGUGUCUUGAUACCUUUUUCAAAUUCCUCAUCUCUUCCCCAUACUUAUGCUUUAAGCCAUUUAUUUCACAAGAGUGUUAAGGAAAGUCUGGGUUCCAAGAGAGGAUCACAAUAAUACGGGUAAAGGUUUAUAACAUGGUUAUCAAAUAAGAAAGGUUAGAGGCUCAAAGGGGGUUGACUAAGUAUAACGACAUUGGUUGGCAAUAAAAAGCUCAAACGGUCCAAGGAGAGCCUACAAUCACUUCUCAAACCAAGCAAAACUUAGGAUUUCUCCUCGAAACACAUUCGGGGCAAGUUCUAGACCAUUCACAUGGAUACUUGGACUAGAAACAAUUCAUCUCACCCCUCACGCAACUAAAUUGUAAAAGAGGAUAGAGUCGAGAGCCUACAACGACCACAUUCAAGUUUAAAGAUCACUAUGGUCCAAUAAACCACUCGAUGAUCACCAAAGUCAACUCAAAAGUCAUAAAGUCACUAACUAGAGCUAUUUUCUUUCAAAAACCUUGUCUCUAACCAUAAACACGUAGUUAAGUGUGUGGGUACCAAAUGAAGCAUGAUUAACUCUUUUUCGAUAAUGACUUGAUUAGGCCUUUUUAUUAAUUACUACUACUAUUAUUAUUACCUAAACACAAAAACAGACUCCUCAUUACCUUAAAAAUGUUGUAACGCCAUCCAACGAGUCACCCGGUUCACACAAAAAAAACAUUGGAAAGACCGUGGCUUUAAAGAAAACCAAUGGCUUAUUAUCUACUAGAGCAUAAAAAGAAGUUACUUAACAAAACAAGAACUAAUAUGGAAAAAAUAAAGAAGCUAAUGAGCAAUAACUACUAAAGAUAGAUAAAUAUACAUAAUAAAAGAGAGAGAAGAUAGAUAAAUACAAAUAAGAACAAAAAAGAGAAUCAUUAAAUUAUUACAAAUCAAAUGUAUCCAAAGUGUGCUAAUGUAUCAAAUAAACUCCACCCCCCCCCCCCAAAUAUAAGUAAGCAUUGUCCUAAUGCUUAGAAAAAUAAGAGUAAAAGGAGGGAGGGUGAAGAAAGCUCGAUAAGGAUCCUUGGACAUUUCAGUGUCCCCAUCAAUAUCAUCUCCCUCAGGAUCAUCUAACUGUAUCUCAUCACCAUCAAAUCUAAGCGUGGCUGGGUUGUCGAACAUCGCACGCAUUGCCUCAGCAGUGUCGGCAUCAAGUCUGGCUCCUCAGAUUGGCCAGCUGGUGCUAUUGGUGCAAAUUGUGCUGAAAGAUCUGGGGCGGACUGAUGCGGGUCAAAUAGCAUACCAAAAAGGUCUCCGGAUGUGGCCAGUCUAGUCACCUCCUUUCGGAGCUUGUCCACUGAUUUCUUGCUUGCCUGGGACUUUCUCAUCUUCUUCACUUCCUUUCCCAACUCCUCAAUAACAGACCUGUGAUGUACCAAGGUGUCCAUGAUCGUCUUCUGGUUCUCUAUAAUCUUAUUCUCAUCAAUGUCAAAAGGAGCCUAUGGUACAUGAGUAGUGGACUGCACUGCAACAGUACUAGAUAAGUCAGGCAGCAUAGAAAUAGCUGUCUGCAUCCAGUUGUUGAGACUUCCCAAUGUCUGGGAGACUCGUAGAGUAGAUAGUGGAACUGUGGGCAUUGGCUUCAAAGCUGCACUAGAGGUUGUGGUAGGAUCUAAGGAUGAUGGUAGAGGCAUAGGAGGGGCUCUGGUAGAAGGCUCAGUAGAGGUGGAUGGAAGAUCAACUGUCUCAGAAGCUACCACUAUUGGCUCAUCAGACUGGCAUGUGGUGGUAUAAGGCUGGACUUUCAUUUUUGGGUUGCUCGCAUCCAUUAGUGAAUACUAGUCAAAUGGCUUCUUCAGAUUCACCUUGGUGUCAAAAGCUCUUGGCUCUACCUUUGCAUCAAUGAGGUACUCUGUGAUAGUGUUGGGAUAAGGGUAGGCCGAGCUAUCCUGCCGUGGAAUCACUGAAAUGUUGACCGACAUCACAACACCCACAUUGAUUGGGUACACGACCAUGAUGGAAGCCACAAGAACUGCCCUAGGAAUAGGAAGGUGAGUCUCGUUCUAGCAUGGAUCCAAUCUGCUACAAACAAAUAUCUUUCACCCCUUUGGCUCGUAACCUAAAGUGCUCCACUGAAUGAGAACCCCAACGGUAAUCCAUGGUGGUGGUGGCCUUGGUGGUGCUAGGAUCUCAGCUAGCCAAGCUUGGACUUCCUUCUUCAUUGCGCACUUCUCCAGAUAAUCCUUUGGUUCAACAUCCUUGAAGCCCAAGUACGUGUGUAGCGUAUGUUGAUCAAACCUUACCUUGAGGUUGCGCACUUUGGUCACCUUCGUCCCUUUCUUUUUUAUAUGAGCAACAUUGGCAUAGAACUCUCGAACGAGGUAUUAUUUGGCAUCCUCUACUCUCUCGGUGAACCACAUUCAACCCUUUCAUGCUAUGAAUUGACUUAAGAUUGUUGGGUUGUAUGUCUCCAAAUCCUUCAAUAAGAACUGUCACUCAAGAGUCAACGAACUCACUGGACACCACAUAUGAAAGCUAGUAAAGGCAGCCAAACUAAAAAAAUCUAUCCUCCCAGACCUCCUUCUUCUUUGAUCUCUCCAAACCUGUAGCUGUACCACCCCCCUAUCAUCAUCGGGUAUCUCAAGUAUAGGUUGUACCUCUGGGACUGGUGUAGCAGAUGACUCAGAAGCCUAGCUAGCACUCUUCAACCCCUCAGAGGUGCUGUGAGAUAAAAAAGGCUCAUCCCUGAGCUUGUAUCUCCCCUGUGGCUUUGAUUGUGUGGCCAUCUGCUUCUCCCGAACAGAGGUUGAGUUUCCCUCUAACACCUCCCUAGACGUGGCAUAGGAGUUAGACUCGUAGAGGUCUGCACCUCCCCCUCUAUUGGUUGUGAGUUUCUUCCUGAUUGUCUUAGGUUGGACAAGGGGCAAGGUACCUUUACCUCGACCCCGAGAGGAUUCACCUCUUCCCUUUGAAGUGUUGCCUCGACCUAUUGAUCAAACCAUUGUCUUUAUCAAAGAAAAGAAGAUUGUUAGUUUCAAUUCAUUGUUCAACACAUUCAGGACUAUUGUAGGUAAGGGAGAGAUAAUUGGACAUAGUGGGGAUACGCAUGCAACACUUGUCUGUAGGUAAAGGGAUAUGUUGUCCACACAUUUUUAUGUGCAUCUAUAUAAGGAAAUCACGGUCCACAAAAUUCUGUUGUGCGGCCACAGAAGGGAAGUGUGGUCCGCACAUUUUAACUUGUGGCCACACUUCUGAGUCUCAAAAAUAGUGAGCCUCUGAUGUCAGAGAAAUGGACUAUCUGCGGUCGCAGAGGGAAAUUUGCGGUCCGCACAUUUUAACUUGCGGCCACAGAUUCCUUCUUCUCUGAGUUGCCCAAAUUCAACAUCUACAUACUGCACAAAUUCAAGCGCGACCGCAUAUUUCAAAAGGUUACGAGCAGUUUUUUAAUUCUUGCACAAAUAGGCAUGGAAACAUGGUAAAACCAUGAAUCUACACUAAUCCAACCCCAUUAGAGCAUAUAUCAAGUUUACCUAGUUCAGAUCUACCCCACAUGGACAAAUAAUUGAACUCUAAUAGCAGAUGGCCUAAAAAAAGAACUAAAAGUCUAAAAGAUUAACUAACACAAAACAUUUAACAUGAAAUUGAAGCAUACCAGAUAGAGUAAGUGCAAUGGGUUGAUAAUCAAGGUGGUUGUAUGUGAGGACAGUGAAAAAUCUCCAAGAAAAUUCAACAGAACAACAGUGUUUUGUUCAGAGAGGGGAAAAUGUGAAAUGAACCAUAUUCUUCUAUUUAUACCAACGAUUUUAGGAAGGGAAAAGAGAUGAGUGCGGCUGCACAUUUUCAUGUUCGGUCCGCACUCUUUCACCUAGGUGGCCAUUCUCAGAACUUCAAUGUGUCGUCCGCACAUUUUCAAGUGCGGCUGCAGAUUUCCUGUGCGGUCGCAAAUCGACCUCCGCACUGACAAGGUCAAACUUCAGAGAGUUGGUAUUUUGACACUUUUGUAACAUUUCAAAUGUGCGGUCCGCAAGAAAAAUGUGUGUCUGCACUGCUAUUCUGCUAUGGCAGAUAAAAAUGUGCGGUCCGCACAAAUAAAGUGUGGUUCGUACAAUCUUGAACACUUAGCCAUAUUUUUGUCAACCUUUCUUGUAAGUCACACUCAUCCCUGUAGCACACUUCAAAUCAAGUUAGAACACAAAUAACACCUAACUACAAAGGAAAAAAGGAAAAAAAAAACACGGGUUGUCUCCCAAGAAGCGCCUGAUUUAACGUCGCUGCAAGACGCAAAAUACCCUCAAGUGAAAUGAAUGACUGCCACCACAUGGCUAUAUCCAACCUUUCCCAAGUAGUGCUUUACACGGUGACCAUUGACUCAGAAUACUUCAUUAUUUUUGUUCUUCAAGUCUAAUUCACCGAAAGGUGUCACACCUACAAUUUCAAAAGGACCACUUCACUUGAAUUUUAGUUUUUCGGGAAACAUCCUCAACCAUGAGUUGAACAACAAUACACGAUCACCCACGUUGAACUCUUUGUUCCAAAUGUGUUUGUCAUGACGAUAUUUCAUUUUUUCUUUGUAUAAGGACAAACUCACAUAUGUGUUUGUCAUGUUCAACCCUCAAGUUAGCGGCUACAUCCCAAUCAAGAUUCAACUUCUUUAGAGCCCACAUUUCCUUGUGAUCUAGUUCCAUCAGAAGAUGACAAGAUUUUCCGAACACCAACCGGUAUGGCGACAUUCCGAUAGGUGUUUUGUAAGACGUCCGAUAAGCCCAUAAUGCAUCACCAUGCUUCUUGGACCAAUCCGUCCGAUUAGCUUUCACCAUUUUGGACAAGAUACUCUUUAUCUCCCGGUUGGAGACUUCCACUUGCCCACUAGCUUAUGGGUGAUAUGGAGUCAUGACUUUGUGACUAGCACCAUACUUGCUAAGUAAAGUAUCAGAAGCCUUGUUGCAAAAGUGUGACCCAAUCAUAAUUGCACGUGGAGUACCAAACCUUGUGAAAAUAUUCUUCUUCAUGAAAGACACUACACUUCUUGCCUCAUUGUUGGGUAAAGCAACGACCUCAACCCAUUUGGACACAUAAUUCCACCACGACCAAGAUGUAGGUAUUUCCACAAGAAGUCACAAAAGUGCCCAUGAAGUCAUUGCAAAAUGGUUUUGAGAGGUAUUUCAUUUUUCUUUCAAAUUCCACCGGCCCGUUGAUAUUCAUCACAUAUUUUCACUAACUCACUAGUAUCUUUGUAAAGAGUAGGCCAUUAGAAAUCACAACUAAGCACUUUGGCCACUAUUCUUGCUCCACCAUGAUGACCACCAUAUGGCGAAGAAUGACAAGCCCCAAGAAUAUCACUUUGCUCUUCUUCCGGUACACAUCUUCUAAUUACCUCAUCCGUACAAAUCCGGAAAAGGUAUGAUUCAUUCCAAUAAUAAUCUUGACAAUCCCUUUUGAGAUUCUUCCUUUGGCUUGAAGAGAACUCAUCCGGAAUGAUUUCACACACAAGAAAAUUUUCUAAGUCCGCGAACCAUGGCACCUUUUUCAUUGAAAUUGCCAAUAGUUGCUCAUCAGGGAAGAAGUCAUUGAUUUCAAGGCCAUCUUGCGGCCUCCCCCCUCCUCCAAACGAGACAAGUGGUCCGCCACUUGGUUUUCACUACCUUUCCUAUCUUAGAUGUCAAUAUCGAAUUCUUGUAUCAAGAGAACAAAUCUCAUCAAUCGAGCUUUGAGGACCUUUUUGCUCAUAAGAUAAUGAAGUGUUGCAUGAUCCGUGUGAAUAAUAACUUCUGCACCCAUGAAGUACGAGCAAAACUUCUCUAUUGAAAACACAAAAGCAAGGAGCUCUUUCUCUGUAACGGUAUAGUUGACUUAGGCACUAUUCAUGGUCUUACUAGCAUAGUAGACCGGAUAAAAAAUCUUGUUGAUACGUUGCCCAAAAACAAUCCCAACUGCUACGUCACUUGCAUCACACAUGAGUUCAAAAGGCACACUCUGAUUUGGAGCUGUGAUGAUGGGAGUAGUUGUCAACUUAAGCUUCAACAAUUCAAAAUCUCUCAUGCAAUCAUCAUUGAAAUUAAACUUGGUAUCCUUCUCAAUAAGCAUGCACAACAGGUUUACCACCUUAGAAAAAUCUUUGAUCAAGCGCCGGUAAAAACCUUCAUGGCCUAAGAAACUCCGCACACCCUUCACCGAAGUACGAGGUGGAAUCUUAGAAAUAACCUCAAUCUUAUCCUUGUCAACUUCAAUUUGUUUCCUUGAGAUUUUGUGGCCAUGAACAAUACCUUCCUCUAUCAUGAAAUGACAUUUCUCCCAAUUGAGCACCAAAUUGGUUUCUUCACAUCUAGCCAACACUUUGUCCAAAUUUGCAAGUCAAUCAUCAAAAGAAUUUCCAACCACCGAGAAGUCAUCCAUGAAAAUUUCAAGGUAGUCCUCCACCAUAUCCAUGAAAAUAGCCAUUAUACACCUUUGAAAAGUCAUCGGUGCAUUGCACAAAACAAAUAGAAUCAGCUUGAAAGCAAAGGUACCAUAGGGACAUGUAAAUGUUGUUUUCUGUUGAGCUUCAAGAUCUAUAAGAAUUUGGUUGUAUCCCGAGUACCUAUCAAGAAAAUAAUAGAAAGCACGAUCGGUCAAUCUAUCGAGCAUUUGAUCUAAGAAAAGAAAUGGAAAGUGAUCCUUCCUUGUGACUUUGUUGAGCUUGCGAUAGUCCAUACACACCCUCAAACCGGUAACCGUUCUUGUAGGAAUCAACUCAUUCUUGUCAUUGAUGACCACCGUCAUGCUCUCCUUCUUUGGGACACAAUGAACCGGAGAAGUCCAUGAACUAUCGGAGAUGGGGUAGACAAUUCCGCCAUCCAACCACUUGAUAAUCUCCUUCUUGACAACUUCUUGCAUAGCCUCAUUUGUGUCUCCUUUGAUGUUAAAUAGAUGGCUUUGCGCCAUCCUCCAACUUGAUUUUAUGCAUGAAAAAGGUAGGGCUUAUACCCCGAAUAUCUGCCAAGGUCCACCCAAUAGACGUCUUCCUCUUUUGUAGCCACGCCAAUGUGGAAUCUACCUGCACGUUAGUCAAAUAAGAGGAAAAGAUAACAUGUAAAGUAUAAAAGGGGCCAAGAAAUUCAUAUCAAAGAUGUGGAGGCAAUUGAUUCAACUCCAAGAUAGGUGGCUCUUCAAUAGAAGGCUUUGUAAGAGGAGUCUUCCUAUUUUCAAGAUCCAAGGAUAAUUUUCAGGGCGCAUAGUUGUAUGAUCCCAUUCCUUGCAAAGAGUUCACACAUUCCAUGAAACCAUUCAUCUUGUCAUUAUAAAAGUUAAGCAUAUCACCAACAUUGAUUGUAGUAGUUGUUUCAUCAACAAUAACAUCGGUCACCAAAUCGACAAAAGAACACACAUCAUUGCUAUUUGGUUGCCGCAUAGAUUUAUAGACAUGGAAUACCAUAUUUUCAUCACCAACCCGGAAAGUGAGUUCUCUGGUUUCAACAUCACAAAGAGACUUAACUGUAGUAAAGAAAGGUCUCCCAAGAAUAAUUGGCACUUCAUAAUCAACUUCACAAUCUAGAAUGACAAAAUUCGUUGGAAGAAUGAAUUUAUCAACACGAACCAAAACAUCUUCAAUCACACCCAACGGCCUUUUCAUAGUACAAUCGACCAUUUGCAAUCUUAUAGAGGUGGGUCUUGGUUGCCCAAUUUCCAAAGUAUUGAAAACUGAAAAGGACAUUAAAUUUAUACUUGCCCCAAGAUCACAAAGAGCUUUAGAAAAUUCGGCACUUUCAAUUGUACAAGGAAUCGUGAAAGCACCAGGAUCCUCCAACAUAGAAGCCAUUGAAUGCACAAUUGCACUCACUUGAUGAGUGACUUUGAUGGUCUUAAAAUUCAUUGACCGCUUCUUUGUCACAAGAUCCUUCAUAAACUUUGCAUAACUGGGAAUUUGUUCAAAAGCUUCGACCAAUGGCACUUUGAUUGAAAGACUCUUCAUCAUUUAUAUGAACUUAUUGAAUUGAUUCUCACCAUUUUACUUUGGAAAGUCUUUGAGGGUAUGGAGGUGGAGGCUUAGGCAAUUAUGCCUUAUCCUUUUGCACUACCAGCUCCGGUAUGUCAAUUAUGUGUUCCCUAGACGGGUUCACCUCCUAUUAAGUCUCUUCCACACUGCCAUCAAUAUCAAUCUGAACUUCUUUAUUAGGUUACACAAUAAUGUUCGGGAUCUCUUCUUCUUGUAUCACUUAACCAUCAUCAACAAGUCGCCUUCCACUUGAGGUGGAUGUAUUCCCGCCUCUUCCACUUCUUAUGAUAACCGCCAUGUCAUGCCCUUGGGAUGAGAAUUUAGAGCUUGAGAGAUUUUCCCCAUUUGAACUUCUAGGUUGCGGAUUGAUGUGUUGUAUGAGGCAAGUUGGGCAUCCGAAUCGGCAUUAUUUUCCAUUAUUUGCUUGAACAUACUUUAAAUACGUCACAUAUCAUUGUUUGAAGAACUUGCACCGUGGGAAAGAUAAGGAGGUGGAUUGAUCGGUUGUUGCUACAUUGGGGGCCUUUGAAAACCUGACCCCCGGUUGCCUUGAUUGUUACUCCAUCCACCUUGAUUGUUGCCUACCCAAUUUCCUUGGUUGUUUCCACUCCAAUUUCCUUGAUUGUUGUUAUUGUUAUGCCAAUUCCCUUGAUUGUUAGGAUUCCAAUUUCCAUUAUUGUUUUGUGGUCGCCAUAGUUGUUGAUUUGGGCAUUGGAAGUUGUUUCUUUGCUCUUGAAAAUUGUUCACAUAUUGCACGUCCUCCUCUGGUUCAUUAUAGGAAUCAUCUUGUUCAAAACCACCAUCAUCUUGCACAUAGUUUUCCACUAGAGUUUGCACUUGUGGACCCUUGGUCCUUCUUUUGUUCACCAUCAUGUUCACUCCCUCCAUAGCAUUAACUUGCUUGGGAGCUUGCACUUGAUUUAGUUGGGCCUUUGCUAGUUGAGUCAUGAUAGUGGUCAAUUCGGAAAUGGCUUGCCCAUGAUAUUGCAAUUCUUUGUGAAGGUGGAUCAUAUUGUGGAACAUUGGCUCGGUAUUGCCAAGAUGACGAUGUUUCCACCAUCUCAUCCAAGAUUUCACACGUCUCCGCAUAUAGUCAUAAAAGUUUCCACUGGCUAGUUGAUUCAGUAUACAUUAGUUGGUUGUGUUUAUCCCACUAUAGAAGGUUUGUUGAAUCAUGUUUUCAGUCAUAUCGUUGUUGGGACAUUCCUUAACCAUUGUUAUAUGGCGCUCCUAUAAUUCGUGUAGUGGUUCAUUAGGCUCUUGCUUGAAUGUCAAUAUCUCAUCUCGAAGUGUAGCCAUAUGCCAGUGAGAGAAAUAUUUAGUAAUGAACUUUUUCGCCAACUCAUCCCAAGUAUGAAUUGAAUGGCUCGAUAAUCAUUUCAACCAAUCUAAAGCUUUCCCCUAUAUAGAGAAGGGAAAAAGCCUUAGCCUCAAUGUAUCCUCGGAAACAUUAAUUUGCUUGCUCCCCCAACAUGUAUCUGCAAAGCCCUUUAAAUGUUUGUAAGCAUUUUGAGUUGGAGCAACGGUAAAGAAGCCAUGUUGCUCAAGAACAGUGAGCAUCACAUUGGUGAUUUUGAAGUUUCCCGACCUAAUACGGGGAGAUACUAUUACACUAACGUAACCUUCAUUGAGCAAUAUCCAGUGUGGAGCCACUCGUGGUGGAGGUGGGGGUAGAACGGGCACAUUGUCAUGAGGUACUCGGCCUCUCCGAUUUUCUUGAGGAUCAAGAGGUACCUCUUCUACUUCCUCUUCCUCUCCAUCCAAUUCCCCCAAUGGAAAAUUUCCGAGAUCAUUGUUUGCCAUGUUUGUACCUAUAAUUUCUCACAUAAGUUAGUAACACGGAAGGAAAAGAAGAUAUUCCAAAAACAAACUCAAAUAUAUAGCUAACACCGUUUUAAUUCCCCGGCAACAGCGCCAAAAAUUGAUCCACGUCCAAUCCACACUCAAUAGUGAGUGGAAACGGUCAUUGGAAGAAUAGUAUCCAACAUGAGUCGGGUUCGAUUUCCACAGGGAGUUUAAUAUGGGUGUUAGGGGUAUACACUUGACGAAAGCAAAUUGAACAACUAGAUUGGAAUUCCAAACAAAGGGUUUGAUUUCUAAUUCUAAUUUUAAAAAGCCUAGGGAUGUGACCUGAACCUAGGUGUUCACCUAAUGGGUUAAAUACGUUAACACUUGUUUUAUUGGUCGGGGUGUAUUAUAGCUCUCAGCUCUAACUUGCCCACUCAAUACCUUUCGGUCAUAGGGUGAUUUUGCCCAAUUUGGCUUUCUCAAGCCCAAAUGGGUAUCAAGCUAAAUAGUUGAUAUGAGCUCAAGUCGGGUUCUCACUAUCUCUAGUUAAAACCCUUUUAAUUAUGCUAAUCAAGCCCUUAAUUAGCACAAUUUCUUGUUAGUCAAGUUUUUCUAGACUAGGUACCUCUUUAUCAAGUAAGAACCAAGUCAAAUAGGCAUGAAUCACUGUUUGCAACCAUUAAUUCUAAAAUUAAAGCAUAAACAAGGCUAAAUAAUCAACACCCAAUCAUAAACAAAUAUUAAAUUAAAUACCCAUAAGUUUACACACUAGGGUUGGGUCACAACCCUAGUAAGAGUCUAGCUACGCAUAAUGAAAAAUGAAGAAAACAAAGAAGAAAUACUAAUUAAACUCAUAAUCUAAGAUUAAAAUGAUAAAAUAUAAGUCCCAAAAUAAUCACAAACUUCCUAAAAUAGCAAAAUACACCGGCUACAACAGCUCAAAUUUCGAAACUUGACCUAAAAAUGUGAUUCUCGUCUAUUUAUAGUGGCUCAAAAUUCGUUGACAAAAAUGCCCCUUGGGAGGUUCUGCGGCCGCACAAUUUCAUGUGCGGUCCGAAGAUUGCUUCAGCUUGCAAGGACUUGGAUUCUGCAGCCGCACAAUUUGGUUUGCGGCUACAAUGCAUAUUUUGCGGCCGCACAAUUCUUGUGCGGUCCGCACUUUAGGCAAGGCUUCAAGUGUUGGUCACUUGCACAUUCUCUAAACUUUGAAUUACUUAUUAGUGCGGACCUUGUUCUGCGGCCUCACAAUUCAUGUGUGGUACGCACAUCAGCUAAAUCUCUACUGGGCUUCUUCACUUGUUCUACGGCCGUAGAAGGAAUUCUGUGGCCGUAGAAGGAAUUCUGCGGUUCGUACUUUCUUCUGCAGCAACAAAAAUACUUCUACGGACCGCACAUCUUAUGUUCUGUGCCCCUUCUUGCCUUGUGAGUCGGAACACUCCUUUUUUAGUCGAAUUUCAUCAUGAGAGCCCAAACUUCCAACAUUCCUGCAAUUUGCACACUUUCAUAUUUUUGGGAACAUAAAUCGAUACUCUCAAACUAAAACAAAAACAAAAAGUUUCUAAUAAGUGGUCAAAAUCCACACUUAUCAAUCCUGUACAAGGAAACCAACAACAGAAGAUUCAGCAGUCUCCAAGGUUCCGAAAAGAGUCGAACAUGAUCUGAAUUACACCGAGGACACUGGACCUCAACCAAACAUACAAACAAGUCCUAAAAUAUCAUAUGAACAUGCUCGAAGCAUCAAAUCAUAUCAAACAACAUUAGAACCAUGAAUCGUGCAUCGAUUCAAGCCUAGGUAACUUUUGAACUUCCGAGUUUCAAAACUAAUGUCGAUUCAUACCAAAAGAACUCCGGUUGACUUCAAAUAUUGAACACAAGUCAUAAAUAACAUGACAGGCCUAUUCUACCUUCCAGAAUUAGGAACCGACCACGAUAUGAAUAAAGUCAACUACCGGUCAAACUUUUCAACCUUCCAAACCUUCAACUUUCAAACUUUCGCCAAUUCACGCCUAAACGACCUACGGACCUCCAAAUCAACAUACGGACAUGUUCAUAAGUCUAAAAUCACCAUACAGAGCUAUUGAAACCGUCAAAAGUCUAUUCCGGUGUCGUCUACACAAAAAUCAAACUACAGUCAAUUCUUUUAACUUAAACCUCCAACUUAGGGACUAUGUGUCCCGUUUCACUCUAAAACUCACCCGAAACCAAAACCAAACACCCCGACAAGUCACAAAACCAUAAUAUAACAUAGAUGAGGCAAUAAAUAGGGGAUCUGAGCUAAAAUACUCAAAAGGACUGGCCAGGUCGUUACAUCCCCCCCUCCUAAAAUAAACGUCCGUCCUCAAAUGAGUGUAAAGACAUAACUGAAGUGGUGAAAAUAUCAGGAUAAUGGCUACGCAUAUCAUGCUCGGUCUCCCAAGUCGUCUCCUCGACUGGUUGACCCCUCCACCGAACCUUCACUGGAGCAAUGUUCUUCGACCUCAACUUUCGAAUCUGCUUGUCCAAAAUGGUCACUAGCUCCUCAACAUAAGACAAAUCCUUGUCCAAUUGGACUGAGCUGAAAUCAUACACGUGAGACAAAUCACUGUGAUACUUUCGGAGUAUAGAAACAUGGAAUACUGGAUGAACUGCAGGUAGACAAGGUGGCAGUGAAAGCUUGUAAGCCACCUCUCCAAUCCUCUCGAGAAUUGCAAAAGGUCUGAUAUAUCUAGAGCUCAGCUUGCCCUUCUUCCCGAACCUCACAACACCCUUGAUGGGCAAAACCCAUAGCAAGACCCACUCCCCAUGAAUGAAACAUCAUGAACCUUCCGAUCCACAUAACUCUUCUAUCUAGAUUGGGCUGUGCGAAGCCGAUCUUGAAUCAAUUUAACCUUUUCCAAAGCAUCCUGAACCAAGUCUGUACCCAAUAGCCUAGCCUCACCCGGCUCGAACCAACCCACUAGAGAUCGACACUUCCUCUCAUACAAGGCCUCAUACGGAGCCAUCUGAAUGCUCGACUGGUGGUUGUUGUUGUAAUCAAACUCCGCAAGUGGCAAGAACUGAUCCCAAGAACCCCCAAACUCCAUCACACAUGCACGAAGCAUAUCCUCCAAUAUCUAAAUAGUGCGCUCGGACUGUCCGUUCGUCUGAGGGUGGAAUGUUGUGCUCGGCUUAACCCGCGUGCCUAACUCAGGUUGUACGGCCUUCUAGAACUGCGAUGUAAAUUGUGUACCCCGAUCAUAUAUGAAGGACACCGGCACUCCAUGAAGCUUGACGAUCUCGCGAAUAUAGACCUAAGCCAGCUACUCUGAAGAAUAAGUAGUCACCACUAGAAUGAAAUGAGACGAUUUGGUCAACCUAUCCAUAAUUACCCAUACUGCAUCGAAUUUCCUCUGAAUCUAUGCGAUCCCAACAACAAAAUCCAUUGUAACCCGCUCCCAUUUCCACUCUGGAAUCUCUAGCCUCUAAAGCAAUCCACCUGGCCGAUGAUGCUCAUACUUCACCUGCUGACAAUUUAGGCAACGAACUACAUACCCCAAUAUGUUUUUCUUCAUUCUCCUCCACCAAUAGUGUUGCCUUAAGUUCUGGUACAUCGUAGCGGCACCCGGAUGAAUGAAGUACCGCGAACUGUGUGCAUCCUGCAGAAUCAACUCAUGCAAACCAUCUAUAUUGGGCACACAUAGCCUACCUUGCAUCAGUAACAAACUGUCAACCCCAAUAGUGACCUCUUUGGCAUCACCGUGUUGGACCGUCUCCCUGAGGACAUGCAAAUGGAGGUCGUCACAUUGAUGCUCUCUGAUACGAUCAUAUAGAGAAUACUGAGAAACCACACACGUCAAAAAUCGACUCGGCUAUGAAACAUCCAAUCUAACAAACUGGUUGGCCAAGGACUGAACAUCCAAUGCUAAUGAACUCUUUGCCGGUUAGAUAUGCUAAACUGCCCAAGAUCUCCUCCUUACAACUCAAGGCAUCGGCUACCACAUUGGCCUUCCCCCAAUGAUAUAUAAUGGUAAUAUCAUAGUCCUUAAGAAACUCUAACCAUCUCUGCUACCGCAAGUUAAGAUACUUCUAUUUGAACAGAUAUUGUAGGCUUCGAUGGUCGGUAUAGGCCUCACAAAGGACACUAUACAAAUUGUGCCGCCAAAUCUUCAAGUUAUGAACAAUAGCUGCUAACUCAAGGUCGUGGACAGGAUAAUUCUUCUCAUGCACCUGCAGUUGUCUAGACGUGUAGGCAAUCACCCUACCGUCUUGCAUCAACAUUGCGCCGAGGCUAACACGCGACGCAUCACAGUACACAAUGUAAGACCCCAAACUCGUAGGCAACACCAACACUGGGCUGUUUUCAAAGCAACCUUGAGCUUUUGAAAGUCUCCUCACACUCCUCGGUCCACCUGAACAGAUCACUCUUCUGGGUCAAUCUGGUCAUAGGUGCAGCAAUAGAUAAGAAACCCUCUAUGAAUCGACGAUAAUACCCUGCCAAACCAAGAAAACUUCGGAUCUCAGUAGCUGAGGACAAUCUGGGACAACUCUGUACUGCUUCAAUCUUCUUUAGAUCUACCUUGAUUCCCUCACUAGACACUACAUAUCCUAAAAAUGCCACCGAAUCAAGCCAAAAUUCAUACUUUGAAAAUUUUGCAUACAAAUUCUUUUAUCUCAAGGUCUGAAGCACGGUCCUCAGGUGUUUCUCAUGAUCCUCCCGACUCCAGGAGUACACAAAGGUGUCGUCAAUAAAUACAAUGAUGAAAGAGUCAAUAUAGGGCUACACUACACUAUUCAUCAAGUGCAUGAAUGUUGAUGGGUUGUUGGUCAGCCCAAAUGACAUCACAAGCAACUCGUAAUGACCAUACCGAGUCCUGGAGGCAGUCUUCGGAAUAUCUAGCUCCCGAUCUUCAACUGAUGAUAGCCUGACCGCAAAUCAAUCUUUGAGAACACUCUAGCACCUUGUAGUUGAUCAAAUAGGUCAUCAAUGCGUGGCAAUGGAUACUUGUUCUUCAUUGUAACCUUGUUCAACUAUCGGUAAUCAAUACACAUAUGCAUAGAACCAUCCUUCUUCUUUACAAACGAGACCAGAGCACCCCAAGGUGACACGCUGGGCCGAAUGAAGCCCUUAUCAAGCAAUUUUUGCAAUUUCUCCUUUAACUCCUUUAGCUCCACUGAGGCCAUAUGAUAUGUGGUAAUAGAAUUUGGAUGAGUGCCCUACAACAAAUCCAUACCAAAAGUCAUAUACCUAUCAGGCGGCGUGCCCGGAAGAUCCGCCAGAAAUAUAUCUGGAUAAUCUCUCACUACCAGAAUUGACUCAACGGUAAGAGUAUCAACAUUGACAUCUCUCACAAAGGCUAGAUAUGCCUCACACCUCUCACCAACCAUCUGAUGUGCCUUAAGGAAAGACACAACCCUACUAGGAACAUAAUACAAACUACCCUUCCACUCCAACCGUGGCAAACCUGGCAUAGCCAACUUCACCAUCUUGGCGUGAUAAUCAAGAAUAUCAUGAUAGAGCGAAAGCCAAUCCAUACCCAAAAUAACAUAAAAAUAUACCAUAUUGAGAAACGAUAGGUAGGCUCUAGUCUCAAAACCACCAAGAACAAAUAAACACGAUCGAUACACACAAUCAACAAUAAUGGAAUCUCCCACAGGUGCGGACACAUAGACAAGAGAACUCAAAGAAGCAUGGGAUAUAUAUAAAUAUGGAGCAAAGUAAGAUGAUACAGAGGAAUAGGUAGAGCAUGUAUCAAAUAAGACUGAUGCAUCUCAAUGACAAACUGGAACAAUACAUGUGAUAACUGAGUCGGAUACAACUGCCUCUGUCCUAGUAGGAAGAGCAUAACAUAUGGCCUAGCCCCCUUCCAGGGCGACCUCUACCCGCCCGACCUCCACCUCUAGCUGGUUAUGCAGGUGGAGUGACAACUGGUGCGGUAACCACUGCCUGGGAAGCUUGAGGACCCUGUGGAAUACGAGGUUCUUGAGUAGUAUAUGGAGGUACAACUCGGAGGACGUGGCUACUAGAACUGGCUCAGGACUGGUCGGCUGGAUGGACCAUUGAAAGCACCUCAUACGGGAGGUGCACUAGAGUGUGGCGGUGCAUAAUGGAUAACCUGAGACCUGGGAGUGGCCGGAAUACCGCUGAAAGCUGGAAUUGCUAAAUGAACGGGAUGGCUCACAUAGGCUCUACCAUGACGGGCUGCAACUGGUGCACGAGCACCACUGUAUGUACCAGAAUCUCGAGGCCUCUUGGCCUCCCUCUCCUCUUUCUCCUGACUCCAUACACCCUCCAAUCUCCUAGCGAUCUCCACUACCUACUUGUAUGGGGUGUCAGUCUCCAACUCUCGAGCCAUGCUAAGUCUAAUACUAGGGUUGAGCCCCCCGAUAAAUCGAUGAACUCGCUCUCUGACAGUGGAAUCUAAUGCAGGUGCAUGUCUGGAAAACUCGUUGAACUGGAAUGUAUACUCUGAUACGGUCAUAGCACCCUGGCACAACUACUCAAACUCUGCAUGCCAUGCAUCCCUAAAACUUUAGGGAACAAACUCCCUCAUGAACAUCUCUAAGAACUGAGCCUAGGUGAGAAAAGUUGCCUCGGUCGGGCUACCCAACUCAUACUCACCACCACUGAUAAGUCUCUCGCUUCAGCUAGAAUAUAGUGAAAACAACCCCACUCGACUCUAAAAUACCCAUAGUAUGGAGGAUACGGUGGCACUCCUCAAUAAAACCAUGUGCAUCCUCUGAAGCUAAGCCGCUGAAAGUAGGAGGGUGGUACUUCUUGUACCUCUCGAGCUUGAUCUACUCCUCCUAAGAUACUGUUGCCCUAACCUCGGCCUGGACUGUAACAACCGGCUACACUGGGACCUGGUCAACUUGGACUCGCUGCUAUGGGAUACGGGCUACGAGAGUCUAUGCUUCUCCUCCGGCCUGAGUUGUAACAGGAGCAAGUGGAAUCAACCCCGCUUGAGUUAUAGUGCCAAACAUGCUCAAAACCUGGGUGAGAAUCUCCUGGAGUUCAGGGGUAGUAACAGGCGUCUCAGGUGCCUUCCCUCCAACUGGAGCUACUGGUGGCUCCUCUGUAUCAGCUCAGGCAGGUGCUCUAGCUGCACCACGUAGCCAUCCUCGGCCUCUGCCUCGGCCCCAUCCUUUUACGGCUCUAGCAGGGGGCACGCAUGUCUGAUCAUCAGAUCCAGUUGUGUGUGUCCUCGCCAUCUGUGAGAGAAUAGAAAAUAGAGAUUUAUAAUUUCAAAGUCAACAAAUUCACACGAUAAGGAAUCAAAGAAGUGAAGCGCUUUUCAUAACAGUUCCAUAGCCUCCCGAAGAUAAGUACAUAUUUCUCUAUACCGAUCCGUGAGACUCUACUAAACCUGUUUGUGACUCAUAACACCUAUGAACCUAGAGCUUUGAUACCAACUUGUCACGACCCCAAUUUUCCUCCGUAAGAUGUCGUGAUGGCACAUACUCUCUAAGGCUAGGUAAGCCUAACGAUCAUACAGAAAUAACUGAAAUAAUAAGCGAACUCUCAAAUAGUCAACAAUUUAAUAAAGAAAACUCCACAACUUGGUAUAUACUGUUUCCCCAAAACUUAUUGAUAUCGAGUCACAAGCUCUAUCACGGUGUCAUAAUCAUCCUUAUAAAAUUGUAUCUAAUAAAAGAAGGGAGCUAUAGUAAUAAGUAGAGGGUGACUCCCUGCGGAUGCUGGCACAUGUAUCUUGAAGUUUUCAACUAUGAACUCAACUCACUAAUGCCUGGACUGGUAGGAGGUACAUGGAUCUGCAUAAAAGAUGUGCAGAAGCGUAGCAUGAGUACACCAUAGCGGUACCCAGUAAGUGCCAAGCCUAACCUCAGUAGAGUAGUGAUGAGGUCAGGUCAAGACCCUACUAGAAUAAAUAAGAAAGAUGACAAAUAAUUUAAUGGUGCAAUAAUAAUAACAAUGGAAAUGAAGCAAGUAAGGAGUAUGCCAAAAUUAAAGUACAUAGAAUCAAGACAAAUAAUGCAUCACGGAAGAAAACAAGAAAUGUUAAAUCAAGGAAACGAAACAACCAAACGCAAGUGAAGUAAUAGAGAAAUACCAACAAGAGUCACUACCGAGGUACCGCUUCGUAGUCUCAAAUCACAAAAAUAAUCCACAAUCUUUCCUUAUAUCACCGCUAGAGCCUUACAUUUAUUUUUGAAAAUCAUUUUUCCUGAAAUAGCAUCCCGCGUUUUAGCCCACCUUAUCUUACCGCAUGCGUUUCAACCCCAAAAUCUUAUACCACCGCAUGCGUAUCAAUAUCACAAUGUAUCACAAAUCGCACCUCAAGUGCCCAAUAUCAUAACUUGCCAAAGAAACUAACAACAAUGAUGUUCUCACAAAAAAAAGCCCAUGGCUCAACCACAAUGUAUACACGAGUCUCAACAAUAACAACCGGAAGUGAAUAACUCAACAAGAAUAAUAUUUCACAACUUAACACUUUGCCUCAAUAUGAAUCACGACCUUUAUACCUCAAUACCAAUUUUAACAAGAUAUUUCAAGAAUAACAACUACAAGCAGAGCAUGCAAAGAUAGAUUAAUGAUGAUGAAUAUAACAUGUUAAGAAAACUCAAUUAAGGCAUGAAAUAAAUCUAUAUGGCUAAAACCGGUAAAUUUCUACAUUUAGCCUGUGUACACACUCGUCACCUACCGCUUUCACAUAUCACAAUUAUCACAAAGCAACACAAAUCCUAAGGGGUAAUUCCCCCACACAAAGUUAGGUAAGACACUUACCUCAAAACAUACUAACUCAAUCCAUUAGUAAGCCUUUCCCUCGAUUAUCCAACUUCUAACUGCUCGAAUCUAGUCAAAACAACUUCAUACCAUAACUAUAAACUAUAGGAAACUAAUUCGAACAAUAAAGUUAUGCUAUUUGCAAAGAAAUAAAAAAAUCAACCUGGGCCCGCAUCUCGAAACUUGACCAAAAUUAAAAAAUCCGGACGCCAAUUUGAUAACGAGUCCAUACAUAUAAUAAUUACUAAAAUCCGACCUAAAAAUCGCUUUUCAAAACCUAAAACUUUAGCCUAGGAAGUUUUCACAACCCUCCCCCCCCCCCACAAAAUUUUCGAACUCAAAUCAUGAAUUAGAUGAUGAAAAUAACAGUAGAUUCAUGAAAUAUAGUCCACACGUUUUUGAAAAUAACAAUCACGAAAAAAUGCCUCACACCGAGCUCUCUAGGUAUAAAAUAUGAAAAAUGAGAUAAAACCCUCAACAACAACAACAACAACUAACCUAGUUUGAUCCCAACAGGUGGGGUCUGGGGAGGGUAGUCUGUACGCAGACCUUACUCCUACCUAAUGCAGGUAGAGAGGCUAUUUCCAAUAGACCCACGGCUCAGGAAGGGCAAGAAGAAGAAGAGGAAAGCAAGGAAGGAAGAAAUAUGGAAGAGAAAAGAAAAAGGGAGAGAUAAAGGAUAAGUAGUACCCAAUAAUAGCAAUAGGAAAAUACAAUACCUGAGGCGAACAAAACCAUAUAACGUAAUAAUAAAACUAAGAAUAUGAAGAUACGUGCAUACUACUAAGACUAUCAGUGAACAACUAUAAACUACCCACUAAUCUUCUACCUUAAUCCUCGACCUCCACACCCUCAUAUCAAGGGUCAUGUCCUCAGUGAUCUGAAGCAGCGUCAUGUCCAGCCUAAUUACCUCUCCCCAAUACUUCUUAGGCCUACCUCGACCUCUUCUCAAACUCUCCAUGGCCAAUCUCUCACACCUCCUAACAGGAGCAUCAAUGCUUCUUCUCUUAACAUGUACGAACCAUAUCAGCCUCGACUCCUGCAUCUUGUCUUCCACGGAGGCUACUCCCACUUUGUCCCAGAUAGCUUCAGUCUUAAUCCUAUCUCUCCUUAUACACCCACACAUCCAUCUCAACAUCUUCAUCUCGGUUACUCUCAUCUUCUACACGUGGGAGUUCUUGACUGGCCAACACUCAGCCCCACAUAGCAUAGCCGGUCGAACCACCACUCGAUAAAACUUACCCUUAAGUUUUAGCGGCAUAUUCCUAUCACAUAAAAUACCGAAAGCGAGCCUCCACUUCAUCCAUCCCUCUCUGAUAUGAUGCGCGACAUCUUCGUCAAUGUCCCGGUUACCUUGGAUAAUAGACCUGAGAUACUUAAAACUCGCUCUCUUGGGGAUUACUUGAGAAUCAAGCUUAACCUCUACGUCUGCAUCAUGGGUCCCAUCACUGAAUUUGCACUCCAAGUAUUAUGUCUUGGUUAUACUCAGUUUGAUAAGGUCUGUCUCCAAACCUCCAACCUCGCGUUAACUCCGCUACGCAUCUCAUCAAUCAACACUAUACCAUCGGCAAAUAGCAUACACCAAGGCACCUCCCCUUGGAUGUGAUGCGACAGUACAUCCAUCGCCAAGGCAAACAAAAAUGGGCUAAGAGCCGAUCCCUGGUGCAACCCCAUCUCCAUAGGAAAAUGCUCCGAGUCACCACCCACAGUCCUCGCCUGAAUCUUAGCAUCACCAUACAUAUCUUUAAUCACCCUAAUGUAUGUUACCGUAACACCGCUAACCUCCAAACACCUCCACAGGACCUCCUUCGAAACUUUAUCGUAUGCUUUCAAAAAGGUCAAUAAACACCAUAUGCAAAUCCUGCUUCUUUUCCCUGUACUGCUCCACUAAUCUCCUUACCAGAUGAAUCGCUUCUGUAGUUGAAUGCCCCGGCAUGAAUCCAAACUGAUUCUCAAAAAUAAACACGCAUCUCCUCACCCUAGCAUCCACCACCCUCUCCCAAACCUUCAUAGUGUGACUCAAUAACUUGAUACCCCUAUAAUUAUUGCAAUAUUGGAUAUCACCCUUGUUCUUGUAAAGCGGAACCAUCGUACUCCACCUCCAUUCUUCGGGCAUCUUCUUUGUCUUAAAAAUAGCAUUAANNNNNNNNNNNNNNNNNNNNNNNNNNNNNNNNNNNNNNNNNNNNNNNNNNNNNNNNNNNNNNNNNNNNNNNNNNNNNNNNNNNNNNNNNNNNNNNNNNNNNNNNNNNNNNNNNNNNNNNNNNNNNNNNNNNNNNNNNNNNNNNNNNNNNNNNNNNNNNNNNNNNNNNNNNNNNNNNNNNNNNNNNNNNNNAUUCCAUCGGGAUUUCGUGUGGCCCCGCCGCUCUACCCCUGCACAUCUUACGCAUCGCCCCUUCCACCUCCUCUACCAUAAUCCGCCUACAAUACCCAAAAUCCCGCCGACUCUCGGAGUGCUCCAACUCACCCAGCAUAAUGCGUCUAUCCCCCUCCUCAUUCAACAGUUUAUGGAAGAAUGUCUACCAUCUUCUCCUAAUGAGUGCCUCGUCCAUCAACACUUUUCCAUACUCGUCCUUGAUGCACUUGACUUGGUCUAAGUCGCAUCUCAGUCACCUUGGCCAACCGGUACAACCUCUUGUCCCCGCCUUUGCCCUCGAUAUCCUCGUACAAACGAGCAUACACCGCGUUCUUAUCCGUCGUAACUACUAACUUCGCCUCUUUCUUUGCCUUUCUGUAACACUCCCAAUUAGUCCUUUUUUCCUCCUCGUUUGUACUCUCGACUAGCUUCAAAUAAGCAAUUUUCUUAGCUUCCACUUUACCUUGAACCUCUCCAUUCCACCACUAGUCCCCUAUAUGACCCCCAGGAGAGCCCUUCAUAACCCUAAGACCUCUCUAGUCGCUACCCUAAUGCAAUCCGCAGUCGUGAACCAGAUGAGAUGAAACCCUCAUUUUUGAAAUUUUAUUCUGCUGCCCAGUUGUUCUUCUUGCGAUCAUGAAACACAAAUUCACAGCUGCCAAAAAUAACUCUCCCUGAAUGCGAAAGUCUACACGUGAACGCAACUCACAAAACUCCACAAGCUACGCUAUCGCGGAACCCUUCAUGGGAUCGUGAAGAACAAAAUGCGUAGACCCCCAGUCCAUUCAAUAACACGCGUGUGCGAUUCACUGACUCUCCAAACAUCACGAUCGCAUGACCCUUCUCGCGAUCGCAUAUAACAACUUUCACAAGCUCACCAAACCGCUCUUCGUGAUCACGAAUCUCCACUCACGAUCACGUACAAGGAAACCAUUUGCAGGAGAUUCAACAGUCUCCAAGGUUCCGAAAUGCGCCGAACAUGUUCCGAAUUACACCCGAGGCUUCCGAGACCUCAACCAAACAUACCAACAAGUGCUAAAACAUCAUAGAAACAUGCUCGAAGCAUCAAAUCACAUCAAACAACACUAGAAUCACGAAUCUCAUAUCGAUUCAAGCCUAAGGAACUUAUGAACUUCUGAAUUUCAAAACUAAUGUCGAUUCAUAUCAAAACAACUCUGAUUGACUUAAAAUUUUGCACACAAGUCACAAAUGAUAUGAUGGACCUAUUCCAACUUCAGGAAUUGGAAACCGACUCAUAUAUCAAAAAAGUCAACUCCCGUCAAACUUUUCAACUUUCGCCAUUUCAAGCUGAAACGACCUUUGGGCCUCCAAAUCAACAUCCAGACAGGCUCUUAAGUCUAAAAUCACCAUACAGAGCUAUUGAAAUUGUCAAAACUCCAUUUUGGAUUCGUGUACACAAAAGUCAAACUACGGGCAACUCUUUUAACUUAAACCUCCAACUUAUGGACUAUGUGUUCUAUUUCACUCCAAAACUCACCCGAAACCAAAACCAAACACCCUGAAAAGUCACAUAAUCAUAAUAUAAUAAAGAGGAGGCAGUAAAUAGGGUAUCAAUGCCAAAAUACUCAAAACGACCGGCCGGGUCGUUAUAGAACUUAUGGCUUAUAAUGAUGACGAUGGAGUAGACUUAACUAUAAGAGAGGCAGCACAACAAGAAGUUGCACGAAUAACAGUUGAGGCAGCCCAUAAAGUUGAUGAUGAGACCAUCAAAGAUGGUGUGGGUCAAAGAUUCAAUCUAAAUCGACUCUUGGUUGAAGACCAAUUCGAAAAUAUGAUACCCAAGCCUGGUAUAUCAUUGGGUGAUUAUGCCAGACCAGUCUAUAAUCAGAAGCUAUCUAGUGUCAUACCUCCACCAAUAGCAGCGAAUAAUUUUGAGUUGAAGCAAGGUUUGCUUCAAACUAUCCAGAACAAUGGUGUCCUUAGAGGGAAGAUGAAUGGAGAUCCUAACACUCCCUUGAUGGAUUUUGAGGAAAUCAUGAACACUUUCCAGUACAACGCAGUGUCAAAAGAUACAGUUUACUUAAGGGCAUUCCCCUUUUUACUGAAGGAUGACACGAAACACUGGCUUCGUAGCUUACUAACUAGGUCGAUCAGGACAUGGGAAGAUAUGACCAAAAGGUUUCUUGACAAAUACUUCUCAGCUGCAAAAAUAGUGAAAUUCAGGGAAAAACAUUCACAACUCCUACCAGAAGGACACUGAAACAGUUUUCGAGGCUUGAGAAAGAUUCAAGAAGAUAGUGAGAAAGUGUCAGUAUAAUGGGAUUGAAUUGUGGAUGCAACUCCAGGACUUUUGGGAUGGACUAACACCUUUCUCACGAUGAACUCUCAGUUCUGCAGUUGGAGGUCCUUUAAUGAAGAAGACUCCUGAGGAGAUUCUUGCAAUUCUUGAUAAGCUCUCUGAAGAUGCUAACCAAUGGCCUGUUGAGAGUAAUGAUAGAAGAAAAUCAGUUGGGGUUCGCUAGGUAGACUCUAACACAUCAGUGCAAGUAGCAUGUGACUUUUGUGGAAUGGGACAUCCUACACAUGAGUGUCAAGCUUCAACUGAAGUAAAUGCUGUGGGGAGAUUUGACAGAGGCAACUACCAAAGUGGAAACAAUUUUAACUCCAUGGGGAAGAGGCACCUAUGUUUCUCUUGGAGUUGACCAGGUGGUAGUGCAAAUGCAUGGCAGCAAAAUAACUCUAGACCCCAGGGACAAUGAGCUCUAGGUUUUCAAAAUCAGCAGAGGCAGCAAUGUCAUCCUCCACAGUCUAAUCAGUCUAUCAUGGAAGAUCUGAUGAAUCACUUUAUUAUUAAGAUAGAUGAGAGGCUUGAAACCAAUGUCACAACUAUCAGAGAAUAGGGCACGGCCAUUCGAAACUUGAAAAGGUAGGUGGGGCAACUAGCUAAUCUAUUGUCUAAGAGAUUUCUAGGAACUCUCCCUGCUGAUACUGAAAGAAAUACAAAAGAGAUAAUAAAUAUAGUGUCUUUGAGGAGUGGGAAUGUAUUAGAGGAUCCCAGGGCAAAACAAAGGGAAGAGCUGAUUGAAAGGCAAGUGGAGAUUGUGGAGGAGCAGAAAAAUGACAACAUUCAAGAAGGUGUAGGGAUGGUAGUUGAGGGUCUGAAGAAGAAGGGUAAGAUUAAAGCUCAGAAGAAGAAGAAAGAUGAGAAUGUAAUAAAUGAGGAGACUGAAGAAAGUUAAUAUAUGCAUGCUCUACCUUUCCUACAGAAGCAGAGAAAAGAGAAGCCCGACAAACAAUUUGGGCACUUUCUAGAAGUGCUCAAGUAGGUACAUGUGAAUAUACCCUUCACAGAGGUACUUUCAUAGAUGCCAGCUUAUGCUGAAUAUUUUAAGGAGAUAUGUCCAAAAAGAGGAAUGUGGAAGAGACAUCGAUUGUCAAGCUCACAGAACAUUAUAGUGCCAUUCUGCAAAACAAGUUCUUCAAAAGUGUGGAGAUCUAGAGAGUUUUACUAUACCUUGCUCUUUAGCAGGUACUAAGUUUGAAAAAUCUUUGUGUGAUUCAGGUACUUCUAUUAAUCUUAUGCAUUUGACUACUUUCAGGAAAUUGGAGGGAGAGAUUGGAGAAAUCGGGUCGAUACAUGUGUCCUUGCAGCUGGCGGAUCAGACCACAAUCAUACCUGAAGAAAUAGUGAAAGAUGUGCUAGUUCGGGUGCACAAAUUUAUGUUCCCUGUGGACUUAAUUGUGGUGAACAUGGAGGAAAAUAGAGAGGUUCCUCUGAUUCUAGGGAGACCCUUCUUGGCUACGGGCAGGGCAAUUUUGUACAUUCAAGAAAGGAAACUCAUGCUCAGAGUGGGGGAGGAAAGGGUGAUAUUCAAGAUGGAAAGAGCAAGAGGGACUCGAAAAGAGAAACUUGGAGAGAGUAAAACUGAUAAGUGUGGGGUGUACCCAAAGAAGGCCGAAAAGAAUCUCUUAGCAUGGAUGUGUGCAUUGGGUCGGGAGUGCAAAGGAGAUCCCAACUUCGAUUCAGACCCCGACUAGAUGAAUCAUGAGAGUUUACUUUACCUCUUGUUUUAUUUGUGUGUCAUGGGGACAUGCCACAAUUUAUAGUUUGGGGUGGAGGAUGUAUAUAUGUACAUGUAUUUUUGUUUUUGUUUUGAUUGGAAUUUGUUUUUACUUUUUCUGACGAUGGAUUUCCUCGACUGUCUUCUUGAUGGAUCAAAUUCGAAGAAAAAAAUUGUUUUUCUUAGAUAGUGUAACAAUUCCCCCUUGGUUUUUCUUUGUGCCCCAGUUCAUUUCCAAGGAUUUUGCUUAAACCGGGGGUAGUUCGUUUUUCUUUUGUUAGGAUUAGAGAGGUCUUGUGCUAUGGUAUUAAAUGUAGAUGAUUUUUCUUGACUUUGUUGUGCCUUGAGAGCGAUGAGUACCUUAGUUGUGACGCCUAGGCUUAGUUCUUAGCUCAUCUAUAAGUGCCUUAAAUUGGUGAUUGUGACUUUAACAGCUUUGACUAGAGAGUCAGGAUAGAUACGAUCGCGAGUGAGUUAUGUGCCAAUUUGUGCGUGAGGUUGUUGCUGAUAUUCAGUGCAUGUCAGUUGAUAUCUAGAACUUUCCCCAUAUAUUUGUAAAGCGAAAUAACAGUCUUGUUCAGUCUAGGAUGUGAUAUAGGCGUUCCUUUGUUGAGCCAGCUAUAUGCUUUUACCCACCUAAUUAUUGUGUAUCGUAGUUAGCCUUUUGAGCCUGUAAUCCUACUUCUUUGGCAACCACAUUGCAAGCCCCAUCCACUUUGUUUUAAUUAACUAUCUGUUUGAAACUUUUUUCCACUCUUGGGCACUUGAUCUUGCUAUGAAUUGUAAAUCUAAGUUGAGAUAUGAUUGGUUUUUUUUAUGGGAUUAUAAAAAAUGAGAGAGGUACACUGCUUUGAAAAAAAUUGUGAGAGCCAUUUGUAGGGAAUUGAAAGAAAAAACGAGUUUGCUUGAAAAGAAAAAAACAAAAAAUCAUAACUUAGAAAAGAAAAAUGGAUUCCUCACUAGUGGUAGUUCUCCUAUUGUCUGUACUUAAAGAUAUUGGUAGCUUGAUGCUAUUAUGUGUGAAGUUUGGAAUUUGGUUCAAACAUAAGUGUGGGGUUUAAAUUGUAAAAUUGUAUGUAUUAAAGUGCUCAUGGAGGUGUAGUCACUAUAUCCAAAUGUAUCCUACCCGUACUGCAACUUACAUUACAAUAAAAAUAAAGUCCUACUUGAUCUUGGACCGAAUGAGCUCAAUUAGUAGAGUAUUACAUUACGGACAAGCCUAUGGUACGUCUUUUGUGGCACAUGAGUUUUAUUUCUGAGAGUGAGUUAAUUCUUUCUAUCUUGAGUUCCUAUGUGUUCUUAAAUUUUAUUGUGUGUGGAACUACUCUCUAUCUUUGGUGUGAAGGCACAUGAUUUGCGAAGGAAAGGUAAUGUCUUUGGCCUCUGAGUUAGAGUAAAUGAGUAGGUUUUGAAAUACGUGGUGCAUGUGAGUCGAGUCUUAAGGCUAGGAUAUUAUGAUGGAGUGCUUAGUUUACUUUAAAUAUUCUUGGCAUGAUGAGUUAGGGAACUUGUUUGAUAAGAAGAUCGUCUCUAUGUGAAGUGCAGUUUGAUUAGUCGAGGACGAACAAUGAUUUAAGUGCAGGUGUUGAUGGUAGGCUAGAAACCUGUAUUUUAGUCAUAGUUUGCACUAAAAUUUCUGCAUUUUACUUGUAUUUGAGCUUAAAUAUUAGUGUAUUGAACUUAUUAUGUGUUUUAUGCCUUGCAAUAAGUGAUUAUGAGUUAAGAAGAUAAUCUGGAGCUAAAUCGAACAAUUUGGAGUUUUGAAGUCUGAGUAAAAGUCCAAGAAAUGAAAUCGGGAACGCGUUCGGACGCCGGGAGCCAAGUCUGGAUGUCAAAACGUGAAGAAAACAAAACAUUCUUGGAAAAUUACACAGUUGUGCCGCAUGGGGUAGCGCGACAAUGUAAAAUGUUGUCGUAGGUCAGAAAUCGCUCUCUGAACUUUCCCACUAGCGCCCCGCAUGGGGCGGCGCUCUUGUACAAUUUUCUCUGAGUAUGUUUCUAUUUUGGCUUGGAAAGGGUAGUUUCGCCUGGGCCCACUGCUACAUGGUAUAAAUACACCAAAAAGAUAUUUUUUAAGGGACUUUUAACCUUGGAAGCUUUGGGAGAGCAUUGGAAGCUACAAGAUACAAGAUUUCAUCAUCUUUCCAUCAAUUCAAUACGGGAGUUUGGAUUGUAACGUUAGAAUAAUGUUUUAUUACUCUUUAAUUAUAUUUGUGAUGACUUCCUCCAUGAUUAUGGAGUAGUUUCCCUUAGAGUUUGACGUAUAUAGUAUUUUGAUAAAUAUUUGUGGAUUUUAACUCUAGUUUCUUGCUUGAAUUCAAUUUAUGGAGUUUUGAAUUGUUGCAACUUUAUUAACCGAUUUAUUUAAUCAAAAGAGGAAUAUAUUUGCGAUUAUCUUUGCAUUAUUUUGUUUGGUUUAAUUCGGUGAUUCUCUUAAGUAACCAAACGAUCUUGUUGAAUUUUUGAUUAAAUCACUUUAGGUGAAUAUUCGAGAGACGUUUUCUUGAAGAUUAAUCCAUUAACGCAUGCUUGCUUAUUUUCAC
rnacentral:lncRNA from 1 species